rnacentral:rRNA from 1 species
CAGGAUACUCUCUUGGUGUGUACUGGGUGUUAACCUCCUUUUUUUCUGGUACUUGCUAUCCAGCAAUGGGUAGUUUUGUCCAGAUAGUUUACUUUGAAAAAUUAGAGUGUUCAAAGCAGGCAUAAUUGGCAUCAUGAAUACAUUAGCAUGGGAUAAUAGAAUAUGACAUUGGUCUUAUUUUGUUGGUUUCUAAGGCCAAAGUAAUGAUUGAUAGGGAUAGUUGGGGCCGCUCGUAUUGAGUUGUCAGAGGUGAAAUUCUAGGAUUUACUCAAGACGAACUAAUGCGAAAGCAUUCGGCAAGGAUGUUUUCAUUAAUCAAGAACGAAAGUUGGGGGAUCGAAGAUGAUCAGAUACCGUCGUAGUCUCAACCAUAAACUAUGUCAACCGAGGAUCCGGUAGCGUUACAUGGAUGACCUUCCGGGCACUCUGUGAGAAAUCAUAAGUAUUUGGAUUUC